rnacentral:snRNA from 1 species
AUAAAUGUAAGAGAUUCCUUGAUCAAGAAGGGAGUUUUCCCUGGGUGAGGCUAAGCCAUUGCAAUACAACUCUUCCGACCCCUGAGAUUUCCCCCAAAUGUGGGAAAUUCUAUUGUGUAGGUUGGGGACUAUGUUACAACUCUCCCUU